GCAUGUGAUGUGAGAAUAAGCCAGGACUGAUGCUGCUUGGCGUCAAAACAGAUCGGCCACAUUCAGAGUGAUGGUCAUAGGCCUGAAUGCAGAUCUUCUGACCAGAACGCAGCAAAUGCAGCAACAACAGGGCUUCAUAUUGAGCCCAAGGUGGCCUUGAACAUACAGCAAUCUUGCUGCCCCAGCUUCCCCAAGUGUGUGCCACAAUGACCUGGCUUCAGCUACUGGAUACUAUGAAGCAUUCAAAGUCUAACACUGGACAAGCACUACGCAGAAGUCUGUUAACCCAAAGCACCGCUUGGGAGGCCCACAGCCCGAGUGCUGUUUUCUGUAAUGACCAAAUAAGCACCAAGCAUUUCCUGUAAGGAACCCUGUGACUGGCGCAUGACUUAUACCACAAAGACCCAUCCCUGACCCACUGUUCUGUGAAGCUUGGACAUCAUCUGAGAGGAAAUACUAGGGUAGUGCCCGUAACAAGCGAGAACAUGACAGCAGACAGCAGGGAAGGGAAGAGCCUAAGGAGAACCAAAACUGCCCACGCCAAAGUUCUGGAGAGCAGCUCGCGUCACCCCCACCUUGCCGUCGCCCAAGAUAGAAAGCCACAAAAACAGACUGAGGAGGAAACUAAAGCAGGGAAGUUGGCGUAGCAUUCCAACAGGUAUUUCCUUAGACUGGGAAAAGUUGCCUAAGGUAACACAAGCACAGGGGUGAGCCUUGGGACAUGUGGGCCAAGUUUUUGUUUGUUCCAAAUUCUGCUACAGACUUAGUUUACACAAAAGACAGUAAGAAAAUGUUGGACAAUUCAUGUUAAACUGCCACAUGGUCUAAUAAGAUUAUAUUCAAAAUGUGUAAUGAUCAUUUGCCAUCUGGGUAAUCCAUCACUGGGCAACAAAUACAUGCCAUUUUGAAAUAACGUCUCUGUACAUGGCCCUUAACACUGGGGCCAACUACAUCUUGAGAAUUUUAGUUCUUUGAACAAACGCUUACUAGGCUUAGAUGAUUUUAAAAGAGAAAAAAAAUUAAGCAAAGAUGAUAUUCUCAUUCUAAAUAAAAGCUAUUCAGUAA